AGGGAAGGGAAACCCAGGGAACCACAGCCAAUGGGAGCUUUGGAGUGGUACCCAAGGUGAGGGCAGCAUGCGGCGGAGCCGCCUGCCCCACCCCACC